rnacentral:rRNA from 1 species
AUGAACGGAAUUAUGUCGGAACUUGCACUAUUGCCCUUCGCACCUUCCCUCUCGUUCAGAUUUUGGAGGAUUCUAAUUUCUAACUCGUUUUCACUUGCUUUGAGAAAGUCCGUUGCAACAUACUGUGUCUUUAUCUCUCCUCUUUCCUCUCAUGAUGAAUAUACAAUUUCUGCAAAAAAUAUCACAAGCAUGCAAACAACUACUCCUAUAUUAUACCCUCUUUUUUGCGUUUUAGAUUUCAUAAAAUCCAUAAGGCAUGACAUCCUGUUUCUGCAAUUUUCCUGCUCUUGUAUUUUUUUCUGCAUCCAAACAAAAAUAUCUGAAAUAUGGAGACGAGUAUAG